GUACGAGGGGACAACCCGCCGAAAGGCGGGCUAAACCCGCGUACAUGCCACCGGGGCAUCCCGGAGGCAGGAAAGGCUUCGGCCGGACAGGGAUGGGCAUGCGGCGCAUUAGGCAGUAGGCGGGGUAACGGCCCACCUAACCGACGAUGCGUAGGGGUUCUGAGAGGAAGGUCCCCCACACUGGUACUGAGACACGGACCAGACUCCUACGGGAGGCAGCAG
rnacentral:rRNA from 1 species